ACUCAAAGGAAUUGACGGGGGCCCGCACAAGCGGUGGAACAUGUGGUUUAAUUCGAUGCUACGCGAAAAACCUCACCAGGGUUUGACAUGCAGGAAGUAGAGAACUGAAAGGGGAUCGACCUGUCAAGUCAGGAACCUGCACAGGUGCUGCAUGGCUGUCGUCAGCUCGUGUCGUGAGAUGUUGGGUUAAGUCCCGCAACGAGCGCAACCAUUAUCUCUUGUUGCCACCACUCUUAACCGAAAGGUUUUGAGUGAGCACUCUAGAGAGACUGCCUGGGAUAACCAGGAGGAAGGUGGAGAUGACGUCAAGUCAGUACGGCCUUUAUGCCCUGGGCUACACACGUGUUACAAUGGCGAGUACAGAGGGUUGCCAACCCGCGAGGGGGAGCUAAUCUCUUAAAAUUCGCCUCAGUUCAGAUUGUAGUCUGCAAUCCGACUACAUGAAGCCGGAAUCGCUAGUAAUGGCAGAUCAGCACGCUGCCGUGAAUACGUUCCCGGGCCUUGCACACACCGCCCGU
rnacentral:rRNA from 1 species